rnacentral:rRNA from 1 species
CAAGACAACUUUACGGAGUUGACGAUUGACGGAGCGAAGCGACGUCAAAGCGUUCAUUAAAGUCGAGUUGGCUUAGGGAUACGUUCGUUGGGUAGGGGAGCGUUCUGUAAGCCUGUGAAGGUGUGUCGUGAGGCAUGCUGGAGGUAUCAGAAGUGCGAAUGCUGACAUAAGUAACGAUAAAGCGGGUGAAAAGCCCGCUCGCCGGAAGACCAAGGGUUCCUGUCCAACGUUAAUCGGGGCAGGGUGAGUCGACCCCUAAGGCGAGGCCGAAAGGCGUAGUCGAUGGGAAACGGGUUAAUAUUCCCGUACUUGGUGUUACUGCGAAGGGGGGACGGAGAAGGCUAUGUUGGCCGGGCGACGGUUGUCCCGGUUUAAGCGUGUAGGUGUGUGUUCCAGGUAAAUCCGGUUCACUUUAACACUGAGGCGUGACGACGAGGCACUACGGUGCUGAAGCAACAAAUGCCCUGCUUCCAGGAAAAGCCUCUAAGCAUCAGGUAACACGAAAUCGUACCCCAAACCGACACAGGUG